ACUUAAUAUCCACUAAUUAGACUCUUUUCCUUCUAAAGAAGAAUGUCCCCCAAACAACACAUUGUAACUUUCUAAAAGACAGUUGGUGCCAGAUGAGAUUAAAAAUGCAGUUACUCUACUAGAUAAUAUUCACCUUACACUUCGGUAAACACUCCUUUAAUAACUAUUUGUUGGUUUCUCAAAAGCAAUAUCCCAUAUUAAACAGACAAUUCAAAUGUGACAAUUCCUCUGUAACAAAGAAGCUGAAUUCUGUAAUAAAUGGGAAACAUUUCAUUCCAGUCUUCUCAGGUACCAGAAUCAUGGACUUCAGUAGAAGAGAGGGAAUAGGGAGAGAGGUGGGAGGCUGAUCUGUUCGUGGCCCAGCACGGUGCUGUAAUUCCUGACCCUUCUGGUUUCCACAGAUCAUUGCAGAGUAAUGCUUGAAGCGUGUGACUUUGGACUUCUGCUGCUUUAAAAGGCCCAGUGGCUUUCCAACCAAAUCCUUAGACUCAAUCUAUUGGUGUGUUUGUCUAAUAAAUUCUUUUUGUAGUAAAUUUA
rnacentral:lncRNA from 1 species